CGGGACACGUGGUAUCCUGUCUGAAUAUGGGGGGACCAUCCUCCAAGGCUAAAUACUCCUGACUGACCGAUAGUGAACCAGUACCGUGAGGGAAAGGCGAAAAGAACCCCGGCGAGGGGAGUGAAAAAGAACCUGAAACCGUGUACGUACAAGCAGUGGGAGCCUCUUUAUGGGGUGACUGCGUACCUUUUGUAUAAUGGGUCAGCGACUUAUAUUCUGUAGCAAGGUUAACCGAAUAGGGGAGCCGAAGGGAAACCGAGUCUUAACUGGGCGUUAAGUUGCAGGGUAUAGACCCGAAACCCGGUGAUCUAGCCAUGGGCAGGUUGAAGGUUGGGUAACACUAACUGGAGGACCGAACCGACUAAUGUUGAAAAAUUAGCGGAUGACUUGUGGCUGGGGGUGAAAGGCCAAUCAAACCGGGAGAUAGCUGGUUCUCCCCGAAAGCUAUUUAGGUAGCGCCUCGUGAAUUCAUCUCCGGGGGUAGAGCACUGUUUCGGCAAGGGGGUCAUCCCGACUUACCAACCCGAUGCAAACUGCGAAUACCGGAGAAUGUUAUCACGGGAGACACACGGCGGGUGCUAACGUCCGUCGUGAAGAGGGAAACAACCCAGACCGCCAGCUAAGGUCCCAAAGUCAUGGUUAAGUGGGAAACGAUGUGGGAAGGCCCAGACAGCCAGGAUGUUGGCUUAGAAGCAGCCAUCAUUUAAAGAAAGCGUAAUAGCUCACUGGUCGAGUCGGCCUGCGCGGAAGAUGUAACGGGGCUAAACCAUGCACCGAAGCUGCGGCAGCGACACUAUGUGUUGUUGGGUAGGGGAGCGUUCUGUAAGCCUGUGAAGGUGUGCUGUGAGGCAUGCUGGAGGUAUCAGAAGUGCGAAUGCUGACAUAAGUAACGAUAAAGCGGGUGAAAAGCCCGCUCGCCGGAAGACCAAGGGUUCCUGUCCAACGUUAAUCGGGGCAGGGUGAGUCGACCCCUAAGGCGAGGCCGAAAGGCGUAGUCGAUGGGAAACAGGUUAAUAUUCCUGUACUUGGUGUUACUGCGAAGGGGGGACGGAGAAGGCUAUGUUGGCCGGGCGACGGUUGUCCCGGUUUAAGCGUGUAGGCUGGUUUUCCAGGCAAAUCCGGAAAAUCAAGGCUGAGGCGUGAUGACGAGGCACUACGGUGCUGAAGCAACAAAUGCCCUGCUUCCAGGAAAAGCCUCUAAGCAUCAGGUAACAUCAAAUCGUACCCCAAACCGACACAGGUGGUCAGGUAGAGAAUACCAAGGCGCUUGAGAGAACUCGGGUGAAGGAACUAGGCAAAAUGGUGCCGUAACUUCGGGAGAAGGCACGCUGAUAGGUAGGUGAAGCGACUUGCUCGUGGAGCUGAAAUCAGUCGAAGAUACCAGCUGGCUGCAACUGUUUAUUAAAAACACAGCACUGUGCAAACACGAAAGUGGACGUAUACGGUGUGACGCCUGCCCGGUGCCGGAAGGUUAAUUGAUGGGGUCAGCCGCAAGGCGAAGCUCUUGAUCGAAGCCCCGGUAAACGGCGGCCGUAACUAUAACGGUCCUAAGGUAGCGAAAUUCCUUGUCGGGUAAGUUCCGACCUGCACGAAUGGCGUAAUGAUGGCCAGGCUGUCUCCACCCGAGACUCAGUGAAAUUGAACUCGCUGUGAAGAUGCAGUGUACCCGCGGCAAGACGGAAAGACCCCGUGAACCUUUACUAUAGCUUGACACUGAACAUUGAGCCUUGAUGUGUAGGAUAGGUGGGAGGCUUUGAAGCGUGGACGCCAGUCUGCGUGGAGCCGACCUUGAAAUACCACCCUU
rnacentral:rRNA from 1 species